rnacentral:rRNA from 2 species
GACGAACGCUGGCGGCGUGCCUAAUACAUGCAAGUCGAACGAACUCUGGUAUUGAUUGGUGCUUGCAUCAUGAUUUACAUUUGAGUGAGUGGCGAACUGGUGAGUAACACGUGGGAAACCUGCCCAGAAGAGGGGGAUAACACCUGGAAACAGAUGCUAAUACCGCAUAACAACUUGGACCGCAUGGUCCGAGUUUGAAAGAUGGCUUCGGCUAUCACUUUUGGAUGGUCCCGCGGCGUAUUAGCUAGAUGGUGAGGUAACGGCUCACCAUGGCAAUGAUACGUAGCCGACCUGAGAGGGUAAUCGGCCACAUUGGGACUGAGACACGGCCCAAACUCCUACGGGAGGCAGCAGUAGGGAAUCUUCCACAAUGGACGAAAGUCUGAUGGAGCAACGCCGCGUGAGUGAAGAAGGGUUUCGGCUCGUAAAACUCUGUUGUUAAAGAAGAACAUAUCUGAGAGUAACUGUUCAGGUAUUGACGGUAUUUAACCAGAAAGCCACGGCUAACUACGUGCCAGCAGCCGCGGUAAUACGUAGGUGGCAAGCGUUGUCCGGAUUUAUUGGGCGUAAAGCGAGCGCAGGCGGUUUUUUAAGUCUGAUGUGAAAGCCUUCGGCUCAACCGAAGAAGUGCAUCGGAAACUGGGAAACUUGAGUGCAGAAGAGGACAGUGGAACUCCAUGUGUAGCGGUGAAAUGCGUAGAUAUAUGGAAGAACACCAGUGGCGAAGGCGGCUGUCUGGUCUGUAACUGACGCUGAGGCUCGAAAGUAUGGGUAGCAAACAGGAUUAGAUACCCUGGUAGUCCAUACCGUAAACGAUGAAUGCUAAGUGUUGGAGGGUUUCCGCCCUUCAGUGCUGCAGCUAACGCAUUAAGCAUUCCGCCUGGGGAGUACGGCCGCAAGGCUGAAACUCAAAGGAAUUGACGGGGGCCCGCACAAGCGGUGGAGCAUGUGGUUUAAUUCGAAGCUACGCGAAGAACCUUACCAGGUCUUGACAUACUAUGCAAAUCUAAGAGAUUAGACGUUCCCUUCGGGGACAUGGAUACAGGUGGUGCAUGGUUGUCGUCAGCUCGUGUCGUGAGAUGUUGGGUUAAGUCCCGCAACGAGCGCAACCCUUAUUAUCAGUUGCCAGCAUUAAGUUGGGCACUCUGGUGAGACUGCCGGUGACAAACCGGAGGAAGGUGGGGAUGACGUCAAAUCAUCAUGCCCCUUAUGACCUGGGCUACACACGUGCUACAAUGGAUGGUACAACGAGUUGCGAACUCGCGAGAGUAAGCUAAUCUCUUAAAGCCAUUCUCAGUUCGGAUUGUAGGCUGCAACUCGCCUACAUGAAGUCGGAAUCGCUAGUAAUCGCGGAUCAGCAUGCCGCGGUGAAUACGUUCCCGGGCCUUGUACACACCGCCCGUCACACCAUGAGAGUUUGUAACACCCAAAGUCGGUGGGGUAACCUUUUAGGUACCAGCCGCCUAAGGUGGGACAGAUGAUUAGGGUG